GUGGAAAAUGGUCAGAAGAAGACUCUGAAAGAGCUUUCUCAGGGCUCUGUAGAAGAGAGAUUUCGGAGCCUACGAAGAGCGGAGUGCAGCUGGAGGAGCGACUCAUUACAGCAGCUGCUCACAUCUGCCACCGCGGAGGGGGUGCAGUCACCUGCGCGUUCCUGCGAGCGCUUAUGGAGGGGACUUAUUAUGCAAACGGCUGUUGAAGAAAUUGGCGGAUCUUAAUGAUUGUGGUAGCAGAAAGGCUCUAGAAAUGGAGAAAGAAGCCACCUUCAGGGUGAACAGGAUAUUUUAUUGGAC
rnacentral:lncRNA from 1 species